rnacentral:rRNA from 1 species
UACGGGGGGUGCGAGCGUUGUCCGGAAUCACUGGGCGUAAAGGGCGCGUAGGUGGCCUGAUAAGGGUGUGGUGAAAGUCCGGGGCUCAACCCCGGAUCUGCCGUGCCGACUGUUGGGCUGGAGUACUGUAGGGGCAGGCGGAAUUCCGGGUGUAGCGGUGGAAUGCGUAGAGAUCCGGAAGAACACCAGUGGCGAAGGCGGCUCACUGGUCUGGUACUGACGCUGAGGUGCGAAAGCGUGGGGAGCAGACAGG